UACGGGGGAUGCAAGCGUUAUUCGGAAUUAUUGGGCGUAAAGGGCGCGUAGGCGGUUUAACAAGUCAGAUGUGAAAGCCCGUGGCUUAACCACGGAAGUGCAUUUGAAACUGUUGGACUUGAGUACGGUAGAGGAAAGCGGAAUUCCUGGUGUAGAGGUGAAAUUCGUAGAUAUCAGGAGGAACACCGGUGGCGAAGGCGGCUUUCUGGGCCUGUACUGACGCUGAGGCGCGAAGGCGUGGGUAGCGAACAGG
rnacentral:rRNA from 1 species